CGUAGGUGGCAAGCGUUGUCCGGAUUUAUGGGUUUAAAGGGUGCGUAGGCGGUCUUGUAAGUCAGUAGUGAAAUACGGCAGCUUAACUGUCGAGGUGCCAUUGAUACUGCAGGACUUGAGUACAGACGAGGUAGGCGGAAUUGACGGUGUAGCGGUGAAAUGCUUAGAUAUCGUCAAGAACACCGAUAGCGAAGGCAGCUUACUAGACUGUAACUGACGCUGAUGCACGAAAGUGUGGGGAUCAAACAGGAUUAGAUACCCUGGUAGUCCACACUGUAAACGAUGAUUACUCGAUGUUGGCGAUACACAGUCAGCGUCUUAGCGAAAGCGAUAAGUAAUCCACCUGGGGAGUACGCCGGCAACGGUG
rnacentral:rRNA from 1 species